CUGGAAUUACAAUUUGGCAAUUAAUAUUACGUUUUUUAAAUUAAAUUAAUACAAAUAUAAAAUGUAAUAUAAAUAAGCUUUAGAAUGAAUGUAAUUUAUUAUUUAUUUAUUUAAAAAAGUAAACAUCACAUUUUUACUCUAGUAAGCUUUGUGAGACCACUUAAUCAGAUGAGAACGAGGUUCAGUUUGUUUGGUUUUGUCAACACAAAACCAACUCUGUAACUGAUUUUGUUUAACUCUCUUCAUAUGUUAGGCUCAAAAAACACAUUGGUGUUUUGAUGUAAAAUCAACCUUCAAAUGGCUUUCAUUUAUUUAGUAUACUAUUUUAGUCAUCAGGUCUAGGAUGAGUUACUAUUUGUCUGUGUUACUGUUUAAAUGUAGUUCGUCUGAAGUUCACAGUUUCAACAUGUUGCUUCAACCCUUGUCCUGUAGUCUGUGCUCUGAAUGGUGCUCGCAUUUUGAGUGUGGGCCAAGUGAUAGUUUCAAACAUCUUGAACUUUGAAACUUCCUUGUUACAGAGCCCUAAAAACAGGUUUUGUUAUACUGGAAGUUUCUUGACAGAAUAACAAAACAGUAUCCAUAUAUCUGUCACAACACAAGGCAGGUCUGCCAGGAAAAAUACACGGGCUAUUCACUUGAAGAAAUAAAAAAAGAAGCGCAGAAAUCUCUGAAACAUCUGAUUUCCCCUUCUCCAUGGAAAAAUGCUGUUUAUGACUUUGCUAUGGAAACGUAGGGAUUAUUUACUCUCGAGUCGGUUUACAAUAACCUUCCCUUUCCUGACCAAACAACAAAGGAAAUAUCGGGUCAGGCGUCUCCCUGCUAACUUCAUCUGGCAGAUUCUGUCUCACUUUCAGUGCAUAUAUACAAACCCCGAUAAUGAUGUGUUUGAGGGUCUAUUUUUGAGCUCGAGCUGAUGAAACUCUUGAACCUAUCCGAGCGCUCAUCCUGUUUUGCCCACCUUCUUGAGUUUAGUGGAAACAGUGAAUAUAGAUUUUACUAAAACACUUCUAUUUAAAAGUACACUCAGCAUCCUGGACGAGAGGCGCAUUUGCGUCACAGCGAGUCACUGAGGUGUCUGUGACUGGGACUUUGGAAUUUUCCGUGGGGAUUUGGGAAGAGAUUGUUAAUCUUGAGUGACAAAAGACCAAUUUCCGCUGCAGUCUUGUGUAUGAAGGGCUGAUUUGAAUAGAUGUGGCAUUGUGACCAAGAGGCAGGCUGGUUGUUUUGUGGGCUUUUGGGGGAUGGGCAUGAUGUUCCAGGGGACAGUAUGUGCUGAUAAAUUCUAAUGGCUGGAGAUGCCCCUCUCUGACAUGAGAUGAGUCUGUGUGAUGCCGUGUGGACAUGCUGUCAGACAGCCACCCAAAGGGUCCUGUGGCCUCAAGAGCCAAGAUUCACUGCAAACGGAAAAUUGUUUUGUUUCUUUAGACAGAUCAGUGCCUGAAGAGUUUGGGUACUAGUGAAAGCUGAGUGAAGACAGAGCGAUGUCUUGUAAAUCGUCAGCACUUUGCUGUCUGUAUGUAAUUUAUUACAUCAAAAUAUACUUUUUAAUCAUGUUACAUUAUUAAUUUUCUAUAUAAAAUACCUAUAAUAUAUAUAUGUGUAUAUAUAUAUAUAUAUACACACACACACACACAUAUAUAUAUAUAUAUACACACAUAUACAGUAUAUAUACAUAUAUAUUGUUACAUACUGUAUACAUAUAUAUUGUUACAUAUAAUUUUUGUUUUUUGUUUUUAUUAUUUAUUUAAAAAUAAAUUAUCUGCAUAUUUACA
ensembl:lncRNA